rnacentral:tRNA from 3 species
CCCCUCGUAGCUCAAUGGAUCAGAGCAAUCCCGUCCUAAGGGAAAGAUGCGGGUUCGAUUCCUGCCGAGGGGA